ensembl:lncRNA
GAAACGUUAACGUUUAUUAACUUGCGACAUGGCUGUGACUCUCUUACUCCCUCUACCAAAGUGUUUAAAGGUGAUUCAACCAGUACUACCACUAGUUACGUUGUUAAACAUCUCUAUUGACACGAAGAGUGUGUUCAGUCCUCAUAAUCAACAGUUGGCACCAAUAUGGCUCGGACUCAAUGCAGAGCCCGCCCAGGAGAUCUGGUCUGCCUAUCGGUAAGUGAAGUGGACCACGACAUAGAAACAAUCUUAAAUUCCCACCUUAAGCAGACCCAAUCAUGAGUGACUGGAUUUCAGACACAUCAGUUUUGAGUCCUGAUGCCACUGUUUUAACUAUGGUACUUGUUCUUUCCCUUGACUGUUUUAUUGCUUUAUUAUUUUAUUUCCUCUAGGAAUUGUGGAGUUCUAAAUAUUAUUAGUGGUUUACCACUUUUACACACAUGUAUCCUAUUAUUUUUGGAGAUUUAUAUGUGGAGAGAGAGCUUGGCCUCUUUAUUCCAUCCAUUCAUCUACCUGCUCACAUAUAUGGGCUCCCAUCUGUUUAAAGAAGCAAGAAGGGACCACACAGAAUCUAAGACUUCAGCAGAAGAACUUGGUCAUGAGUAUCUGACAAAAAUUUACUUUUAUUAUAGAAAACUCUCAGUCAUGAAUGGAUGUGAGAGUUGGACUGUAAAGAAAGCUGAGCGCUAAAGAAUUGAUGCUUUUGAACUGGUGUUGGAGAAGACUCUUGAGAGUCCCUUGGACUGCAAGGAGAUCCAACCAGUCCAUCCUAAAGGAAAUCAAUCCAGAAUAUUCAUUGGAAGGACUGAUGCUGUGGCUGAAACUCCAGUACUUUGGCCACCUGAUUCUAAGAACUGACUCAUUUGAAAAGACCCUGCUGCCGGGAAUGAUUGAAGGUGGGAGAAGAAGGGGACAACAGAGGAUGAGAUGGUUGGAUGGCAUCACCAGCUCAAUGGACAUAAGUUUGUGUAAGCUCCGGGAGUUUGUGAUAGACAGGGAGGCCUGGCGUGCUGCAGUUCAUGGGCUCACAAAGAGUCAGACACGACUGAGCGACUGAAUUGAACUGAAUGUUUGAGAUGAGCCUUGAAGAAGAAAGAAUAUUACACAGGGGAAGAGAAUUAUAAAAAAUAGCAGCAUGAGAGGGCAGGAUAAAAAGCAGGAUGUUUUCAGUGAGCAGAUAAUUGAACACUAAAAUCUCAUCACAUGGAGUCAACCAAAUGCCUGUAAUCAAUGGAUACUCCUAGUCUGGUCAACAAAAUCUGAGGUUUCUUUGACAGGGACUAGAAUCACUUCAGAGGUGAAGAGCAGGGAAAGGGUGGACUAGGGAUCCCUUAGCUUGAGUGUGUGGUUAAUUCUUGUACACUUAACACUUCCAGCAUAUUUCUAUUACCCUGACUUCAAAAUGGAAAAGUUCUACGGGGCGUAUGGUUUUCUGAAUCAGCAAAGGAGAAGGGUGAUUCCAGAGAUGUCUCAGACAUCUAGAGCCUGUUCUUAAUGUCCACCUUGAUAAAAGCUGGACAGGGAUACAAGGGUGAGGGGCGAGACUACUACCUGGGGCCUGCUGGAAAGAGUGAAGAGAGUCAGCCAGGCCCCAGGGGAUCCUUUUGAUGGGUCACUGUGGUACCACUCACAGCCAUUCCAUCAGGCCUCUUACUUGAGGGAUAACCAGAUGUCACCCCCAACUUCUCUAAGCUCUAGUCCUAGUUUUCUAAUGACUGUUAGACAUACCCAGGAUUUAAUAAGGCUCAACUUUAACAUUUCUAAAAUAAGCCUCUUUCCAUAACUGGCUUCCCUUUCUGACUGCUUUACUUCCAACAAGAGUACUCCAUUUUCACAUUAACCCAGGCUUAACAUUUUCAUAAUCUCCCUCUAUUUCACAUUAAUUCUCACAUCCACUCAUCUACCAAGUUUGGUCAAUUCUUCCUCUGCAAAGACUCACUCCUCCUGUUUCCACUCUCACACUCAGACAUCAAGCCCCUAUCACCCUGUGCCUGUACCGCUUAAGUAAUUUUUUUCCUCUGGUCUUCUUAUCUCCAGUCUCCCCACUGUCCACUAUAUGCUGCAGAUUACCUUUUCCCAAACCUCUUUAUCAUGUCACACUUUGCCCAAGAAUGAAAAGUCAUUCUUUAUAGGUUGCAUGAUGGAGUAGUAAGUUUACCUUAUAAACAAGAUCUUUCACAACUGGGCCAAACUUACUGUCUCAGCAGACACUACAGUCUUCCUGCUUUUCACACUAUUAUUCUCCAUACCUGUACCAUCUUUUCUUCUUCUAUGGUCUCCACACCUAGCUGAGAUACUUCCCCUCUUGAAGAAUACCACUACUACAUAAAAAGCAAGGCCACACAAAUACUGUUAUUACAUGAAUGCUGUUACUACAUAGUUAACAUGUAUGGAGCACUUUCUGCUGAGUCCUUUGCUAAUUAUGUUAUGCAAAUAAUCUCAUUUUAAUUCUCACAACCAUCCUAUAAAGUACAUCCCUGGUUUUCACAGGGGAGAAGUAAAGCAUGAUAACAUUGAGCAGCCUGUCACUGUCAUAUAUCCUUAAGUAGAUGAGCUACUUAAGGUGAGGUUCUGAUUUCAGAACCUGGGCACCAUUAGUCUUCAUGCUCCCAGAGAAGGACUUGUCUCUCCAAACCUGAAGAAUUUAUUAAAUGUACUACUUAAUUGGCAUUCAUUCUAUAGGACACCAUCACCAAUAAAUCACAUAGGGCUGUUGAAUUAACUAUUUAGAUGAACAAAUUUAAUACAUUAUAUAAUCAGGGAGGGUGAUUCUUUGGGAGAAUCACCCUGGUGAGAUAUCUAUUAAGAGCUUUUAUGAUGUGUUCAUAUGCACUGUCCUCUAUUAAGUAUCCACUGUGUUUUAAGCUGCUUAAAAGAAAGCCUAUACCUUGUAAUUCUCUGUAUUCCUCUAAUAUCUUGUACAUGAUUAGCAUUUGAUAAAUAUUUUCCAGCUGAUGAAUAAACUAACUAAUCUAUCAUUCAAC